rnacentral:rRNA from 1 species
UACAGAGGUGGCAAGCGUUGUUCGGAAUUACUGGGCGUAAAGGGCUUGUAGGUGGCCAACUAAGUCAGACGUGAAAUCCCUCGGCUUAACCGGGGAACUGCGUCCGAUACUGGUUGGCUUGAGUUUGGGAGAGGGAUGCGGAAUUCCAGGUGUAGCGGUGAAAUGCGUAGAUAUCUGGAGGAACACCGGUGGCGAAGGCGGCAUCCUGGACCAAUACUGACGCUGAGGAGCGAAAGCCAGGGGAGCAAACGGG